GGGCUGGGGCUCAGUGGUGGAGUACUCGCCUAGCACACGUGAGGCCCUGGGUUUGAUCCUCAGCACCACA
rnacentral:tRNA from 1 species